rnacentral:ncRNA from 1 species
CACAUGCAAGUCGAACGGGAAGUGGUGUUUCCAGUGGCGAACGGGUGAGUAACGCGUAAGAACCUGCCCUUGGGAGGGGAACAACAACUGGAAACGGUUGCUAAUACCCCGUAGGCUGAGGAGCAAAAGGAGAAAUCCGCCCAAGGAGCGGCUCGCGUCUGAUUAGCUAGUUGGUGAGGCAAUAGCUUACCAAGGCGAUGAUCAGUAGCUGGUCCGAGAGGAUGAUCAGCCACACUGGGAC